rnacentral:rRNA from 1 species
GAUGAACGCUGGCGGCGUGCCUAAUACAUGCAAGUCGAGCGAACGGACGAGAAGCUUGCUUCUCUGAUGUUAGCGGCGGACGGGUGAGUAACACGUGGAUAACCUACCUAUAAGACUGGGAUAACUUCGGGAAACCGGAGCUAAUACCGGAUAAUAUUAUGAACCGCAUGGUUCAAAAGUGAAAGACGGUCUUGCUGUCACUUAUAGAUGGUUCCGCGCUGCAUUAGCUAGUUGGUAAGGUAACGGCUUACCAAGGCAACGAUGCAUAGCCGACCUGAGAGGGUGAUCGGCCACACUGGAACUGAGACACGGUCCAGACUCCUACGGGAGGCAGCAGUAGGGAAUCUUCCGCAAUGGGCGAAAGCCUGACGGAGCAACGCCGCGUGAGUGAUGAAGGUCUUCGGAUCGUAAAACUCUGUUAUUAGGGAAGAACAUAUGUGUAAGUAACUGUGCACAUCUUGACGGUACCUAAUCAGAAAGCCACGGCUAACUACGUG